rnacentral:rRNA from 1 species
AAUCAACGCUGGCGGCGUGCCUAACACAUGCAAGUCGAGCGCGAAAGGGGGUAACUCCCGAGUAGAGCGGCGAACGGGUGAGUAACGCGUGGGUGAUCUGCCUCCGAGUGGGGAAUAACACCGGGAAACUGGUGCUAAUACCGCAUGACAUCCUCGGAUCGUGCCGAGGAUCAAAGCCGGGACCGCAAGGCCUGGCGCUUGGACGAGGAGCCCGCGUCCGAUUAGCUUAGNGGCGGGUAAUGGCCCACCAAGGCGACGAUCGGUAGCCGGCCUGAGAGGGCGGACGGCCACACUGGGACUGAGACACGGCCCAGAC